GGGCACCUACGGGGGCCUAUAACUUCAGGGUCUCCUCGCGAGGCCCGCCAAGCAAACGGAAGAAGCAA
rnacentral:ncRNA from 1 species